UGUACAUAUUGUUCUUGUAUUAGCUGUAAAUCCCCAGACAUUAUAACAAGCGGUUCCCUGGCCCAGGGUGUGGGAAAAGGUUGUCCCAUCAGAAUCUCAAAUGGAGAUAAUUUAGUCACCUUGUGAGGAGUCAUUCUUAUCUCAGCUAAAAUAGCUGGAAGAUAUUUUGUCCAAUUUACCCAUGUUCCUGCAGUAGCUUUCAUAAGCUUCUCC